CACCACUUCUCUCCGGCGCAAUGCACAUCAAUCUUUCGCGAAAAAGAAUGGAAGGAGUGACGAAUCGAGAUAUCGAGACCCUGGAGGAAGAGAACUCGACCCGAUCUAGCGAUAAAGAAGAAUGCGGCAUCGGAAAUCCCCGGCGCAGCCCUGAAGUCGCCGCCUUUCAGACAAGGCUGGUUCUUUCGGAAAGAAUGCACCUUGCGGCGCAUCAAUCUUUCGUCGCUGGAAUGGGAGAAAGCAUGAGCCAUCUCACAGCGCUGGAAGAAGAGG